rnacentral:tRNA from 1 species
GGAGGCACAGCUCAGGGGCUGAGCACCUGCUUGGCACUCAAGAGGCCCUGGGUUCGAUUCCCAGCACCUCCA